GAGAGCCGUAUGCGGGAAAACCGCACGUACGGUUCGAUGAGGGGGCGCUGAUGGAAGGAUACAGCAUAGUAGACACGUAGUAGUCGCGUGCGACAAGGCGUCUGUAAAAGUCCUGGCUGAUUCUAUCCAUCAGUGCUCUACUCUAC
rnacentral:ncRNA from 1 species